UACGUAGGGACCAAGCGUUGUUCGGAAUUACUGGGCGUAAAGGGCCUGUAGGCGGCCAACUAAGUCACACGUGAAAUCCCCAGGCUUAACCUGGGAACUGCGUGUGAUACUGGAUGGCUUGAAUUCGGGAGAGGGAUGCAGAAUUCCAGGUGUAGCGGUGAAAUGCGUAGAUAUCUGGAGGAAUACCGGUGGCGAAGGCGGCAUCCUGGACCGACAUUGACGCUGAACGGCGAAAGCUAGGGGAGCAAACGGG
rnacentral:rRNA from 1 species